rnacentral:rRNA from 1 species
CCUACGGGAGGCUGCAGUAGGGAAUCUUCCACAAUGGGCGAAAGCCUGAUGGAGCAACGCCGCGUGGGUGAAGAAGGUCUUCGGAUCGUAAAACCCUGUUGUUAGAGAAGAAAGUGCGUGAGAGUAACUGUUCACGUUUCGACGGUAUCUAACCAGAAAGCCACGGCUAACUACGUGCCAGCAGCCGCGGUAAUACGUAGGUGGCAAGCGUUAUCCGGAUUUAUUGGGCGUAAAGGGAACGCAGGGGGUCGUUUAAGUCUGAUGGGAAAGCCUUCGGCUUAACCGGAGUAGUGCAUUAGAAACUGGGAGACUUGAGUGCAGAAGAGGAGGGUGGAACUCCAUGUGUAGCGGUGAAAUGCGUAGAUAUAUGGAAGAACACCAGUGGCGAAAGCGGCUCUCUGGUCUGUAACUGACGCUGAGGUUCGAAAGCGUGGGUAGCAAACAGGAUUAGAUACCCCUGUAGUC